CCUACGGGGGGCAGCAGUGAGGAAUAUUGGUCAAUGGACGCAAGUCUGAACCAGCCAUGCCGCGUGCAGGAAGACGGCUCUAUGAGUUGUAAACUGCUUUUGUACGAGGGUAAACUCAGAUACGCGUAUCUGUCUGAAAGUAUCGUACGAAUAAGGAUCGGCUAACUCCGUGCCAGCAGCCGCGGUAAUACGGAGGAUUCAAGCGUUAUCCGGAUUUAUUGGGUUUAAAGGGUGCGUAGGCGGUCGGAUAAGUUAGAGGUGAAAUCCCGAGGCUCAACUUCGGAAUUGCCUCUGAUACUGGUAGGCUAGAGAGUAGUUGCGGUAGGCGGAAUGUAUGGUGUAGCGGUGAAAUGCUUAGAGAUCAUACAGAACACCGAUUGCGAAGGCAGCUUACCAAGCUACGUCUGACGUUGAGGCACGAAAGCGUGGGGAGCAAACAGGAUUAGAUACCCUUGUAGUC
rnacentral:rRNA from 1 species